rnacentral:rRNA from 1 species
GACGAACGCUGGCGGCGUGCUUAACACAUGCAAGUCGAACGGAAAGGCCCUGCUUUUUUGGUGUGCUCGAGUGGCGAACGGGUGCGUAACACGUGAGUAACCUGCCCUUGACUUUGGUAUAACUUCAGGAAACUGGGGCUAAUACCGGAUAGGAGCUCCUGCUGCAUUGUGGGGGUUGGAAAGUUUCGGCGGUUGGGGAUGGACUCGCGGCUUAUCAGCUUGUUGGUGGGGUAGUGGCUUACCAAGGCUUUGACGGGUAGCCGGCCUGAGAGGGUGACCGGCCACAUUGGGACUGAGAUACGGCCCAGACGCGUACGGGAGGCAGCAGGGGGGAAUAUUGCACAAUGGGCGGAAGCCUGAUGCAGCAACGCCGCGUGCGGGAUGACGGCCUUCGGGUUGUAAAACGCUGUCGCCUGUGACGAAGCGUGAGUGACGGUAAUGGGUAAAGAAGCACCGGCUAACUACGUG